rfam:Ixodes scapularis strain Wikel colony gcontig_1108379875770, whole genome shotgun sequence.
UCCUUGUUAGCUCAGCUGGUAGAGCGCUUCACUGUAAAUGGAAAGGUCCCUGGUUCGAUACCAGGACCAGGAG